UUUUUUCUUUUCUUCUUUUUUUAGAAAAUAAAAAUUACAAACUUGAGAUGAUAACACAACAAAGUAAAACUAAUUUAUAAUUAAGAAGUGAGAUUGUUAAAAGAUGAAUUUGAUUGAAUAUUUAUUGUGUUAGGAAGUGUUUGGAAUAUGAACAAAUGUUUGUUUAUUUAGACAAGUAGAGGAGGAUACAAUUAUGUUGGAUAUUUGACUAGACUAAGACACUUGUACAUGAUUACCAUCGCAAAUACUCUUUGUUUCAAAUGUGCGUUACAUUUUAAUAUGUUUAUAUUCACAUUUAAACUUUCUUCUUAUUCCCAGGAAACUCCAAAUGUUGAAGCCAUACGGGUUGAUUGGUCUUACAUUGAAAAGCGAGCAUUGAAACGUGCAGACUUCAAAAAGAUGUCUAAACUAAUAAUGCUAAUUGUGGAUGGUGGCUACACAUUCACCGCUUCUCUAGACCUUCCCGAUUCUCUUCGUUAUCUUGAGUGGUGGGGAUAUCCACUGGAAUCUUUGCCGUCAAAAUUUUGUUCGGAAAAUCUAGUUGAGCUUCAUAUGCCAUAUAGCAAAGUUAAGAAGCUUUGGAAAGAAGAGCAGGUAUAUUAUAUUAUAUGCCUAUUUCAAUUCUUGUAUAAAAUAAAGUGUAGAAAUUAUAUCAAUUCUUUAUAUUUCUAUUUCAUUUGUUGCAGAUACUUGUCAACUUACAAGUUAUCAAUCUGUACGACUCCAGAUUACUAACUGAAAUUCCUGGGUGUUUUCAACAUCUCCACAAGUUUACUCGUCUUGAGCUUGAAUGCUGCAUGAGUCUCAAGUAUCUUCCAGAGGUGUCAGGAAAUCUUCAACACUUAAAUUUACAAAGCAGUGGUGUAAAGGAGUUGCCUGAAUCAGUUUGGUCUAACGAAAAUAUUUCCUACUUGAAUAUAAGUCAUUGCAAAGACCUUGAGAAACUUCCAAGCAACAACUGUGAGCUAAAAGUCUCUAAUGUUUUGGGUAUUGAGAGCUGCACAUCUCUUGGCGAGUUUUCUGAGCUUCCCAGGGAUAUAACUAAAUUAUCAUUGGUUGGUUUCAAGAGACUUGUGAGUCUACCAACCCACAUUUGUAAGUUGAAAAAUCUAAAGGAACUCAAUCUCUAUGGCUGCUAUGAACUUGAAAAAUUCCCAGAGAUCUUGGAGCCAAUGGAACAUUUGGUGUCUCUUCGUUUGCAAGGGACAGCUGUCAAAAUGCUUCCUUCGUCUAUUGGAAAUCUAAUUACUCUUCAAACUUUAGACCUUAGUGGCUGCAAGCACCUUGUGAGUCUACCAACCAACAUUUGUAGGUUGAAAAAUCUGAAGGAACUCAAUCUCUAUGGCUGCUUUGAACUUGAAAAAUUCCCAGAGAUCUUGGAGCCAAUGGAACAUUUGGUGUCUCUUCGUUUGCAAGGGACAGCUGUCAAAAUGCUUCCUUCGUCUAUUGGAAAUCUAAUUACUCUUCAAACUUUAGACCUUAGUGGCUGCAAGCACCUUGUGAGUCUACCAACCAACAUUUGUAAGUUGAAAAAUCUGAAGGAACUCAAUCUCUAUGGCUGCUCUGAACUUGAAAAAUUCCCAAAGAUCUUGGAGCCAAUGGAACAUUUGGUGUCUCUUCGUUUGCAAGGGACAGCUGUCAAAAUGCUUCCUUCGUCUAUUGGAAAUCUAAUUAGUCUUCCAACUUUAGACCUUAGUGGCUGCAAGCACCUUGUGAGUCUACCAACCAACAUUUGUAAGUUGAAAAAUCUGAAGCAACUCAAUCUCUCUGGCUGCUUUGAACUUGAAAACUUCCCAGAGAUCUUGGAGCCAAUGGAACAUUUGGUGUCUCUUUGUUUGCAAGGGACAGCUGUCAAAAUGCUUCCUUCGUCUAUUGGAAAUCUAAUUAGUCUUCAAACUUUAGACCUUUGUGGCUGCAAGCACCUUGUGAAUCUACCAACCAACAUUUGUAAGUUGAAAUAUCUGGAGGAACUCAAUCUCUCUGGCUGCUCUGAACUUGAAAACUUCCCAGAGAUCUUGGAGCCAAUGGAACAUUUGGUGUCUCUUAGUUUGCAAGGGGCAGCUGUCAAAAUGCUUCCUUCGUCUAUUGGAAAUCUAAUUAGUCUUCAAACUUUAGACCUUCGUGGCUGCAAGCACCUUGUGAGUCUACCAACCAACAUUUGUAAGUUGAAAUAUCUGGAGGAACUCAAUCUCUCUGGCUGCUCUGAACUUGAAAACUUCCCAGAGAUCAUAAAGCCAAUGGAACAUUUGAAGUACUUAAAUUUAAGUGGAACAACGGUUAAAGAGCUACCAUCAUCAAUCGAGUUUCUCUCUGCUCUCAAAAGAAUUAAACUACAAGGUUGCAAACGGCUUUCAAGUAUCCCAAAGAGCAUUUGUAAGUUGAAAUGUCUCGAGGAACUCAAUCUUUCUUGGUGCUCUACACUUCGAAACUUCCCAGAGAUCUUGGAGCCAAUGGAAAAUUUGAAGUCCUUAAAUUUAAGUAGAACAUCAGUUGAACAGGUAUACACAUCAUCAAUUGAAUUUCUCCCCGCUCUCAAAAAUAUUGAGCUAAAAGGUUGCAAUAAGCUUUCAUGCAUCUCAAAAAGCAUGUUGAAAUAUGUUACAAGACCUGAUGCGUAUGAAACAAGUGAAAGUGAUGAUCAUGGGUCUGAAGCCAGUGAAAUUGAAGAUGAUUCGGACUUAUAAUCCAACAAUCUUAAGCAUCGUUAUCCAAUAGAAUUAGGAAAAACUUUACAGCAAAUUUUGUACUUUGAGAGCUCACUUGUCUGUCCAAGAAAUAAGAUGACAAAAUAGGCAAGGCUUUUAGUAUUUUAGUAUUGUUUAUACUUUAUACAUUAUAAAGCGCAAGUUAUGGACAAGUGUCUAAUAUCCUAUUUGUUAUCUUUUAAAACUUGAUUUACAAGUCCAGCGGCAUCUUGAAAUUCGCUUUUAUAUCAUUAGACAUGAAUUAAUACGCCAGGCCAAGGCAAAGUAAAAAUCUCACGACCAAGAGCAAUAGUUUGGAUAUUCAAUACUACAAAAAUAUGCGAUAGUUCGAUGGCUUUACUACAAUGAGCAAAAAAUAUGAAUGGCCCGAUUGGACUAACACCGGCAAACUCAGUGUUCUUGUUUAAACUAAACAAAGAUCAGCGAAACAAAUUUUAUUAGAGAGGGUAAAAAAUUACAGCAAAUUAAGGCUGAAAAGAAAAAAGCACAGCCCCAAUUUAAUAAUACAAUCAUCAAUUUUGUAACAAUGAUAAAACUAUUAAAUAUUAUCUCUAGCAUCCAAAAUUUCUUUCUCCAAGUUUGGCAUAUUUGUUAUGAUUUGAAACUUAUCAGGAAGUAACUUGCACACAUAACUUUACUGCCCAAGAUGAAAAAAUUGGGGAAACAUUAAAGUUCUAGUACCUUUUUAUCAGCUUCGGUUGCUUGUUUGAACUUGAGUUCAGUGAGUUAACCUCCUCUGUACUCGGUUGAUUUACAUGACGUUUCUCCAAUUCUGGUACUCUGGGUGUCUGCUGAUUGGCCUGCUGCUUUUCCUCACUAACAGUAGUAUAAAAUCUGCCCGACCAAGGAAACCAGUCUGCCUCCGGUCUGCAUGUGCCCAUGUCUGCCAAUAAAUAUAAGCAACCAAUAUAAACGGAACAGAUCCAAACUUGUGUUACAAAAAGAUAAUGAGAAAGUGCAUUCAUAUAAGCAAUAUUUAACAUAAUAUGCCCUCGGUGAUCAUUUCAUAAGCAAGUAUACUGCUUCAAGAACCUAUUUGUUGAUACGAUCAUGACCCAAGAACAUUUCCCCUGUAUGCGACAAUCCUAAUUAUUCCAUAGUCAUCUUAUGCUGCAGGUUUUCACUACUACACACUUGUAAUGUAAUAAACAAUACUUGGUCAAUCCUUGGGUCAUAUAACACAUUUCUAAAGUCUGCUUACCACCUCAGGUCGAACGGAUACACCAGAAAGUAAAUUAAUCACCUGAGAACAUAACUCUCUCAACCUCACCAACUAUAAAUCCUUCAUCUACUUAUUUUCUACCGUUUGAACAUCAAUUCCGCAUUUAUACUAACACGAAAUAAAAAUCUCAACUUAGAUAAGAGAAUUAAGACAUCCCGAGCUCACAUUUACCACUUCAACUACAAUAAGACUGAAAAUUCAAAAUCAAUCUGAUUCGGAACACAUUUCCACGAGUAUCAAAUCCCGAUCAACCACUAUAAUUACACAAAUAUAAUACACGUCCAAUUAUACAUAAAUCACAAGCAUAUAAGGAC
rnacentral:lncRNA from 1 species